rnacentral:rRNA from 1 species
GGCAGGUUGAAGGUUGGGUAACACUAACUGGAGGACCGAACCGACUAAUGUUGAAAAAUUAGCGGAUGACCUGUGGCUGGGGGUGAAAGGCCAAUCAAACCGGGAGAUAGCUGGUUCUCCCCGAAAGCUAUUUAGGUAGCGCCUCGUGAAUUCAUCUCCGGGGGUAGAGCACUGUUUCGGCUAGGGGGCCAUCCCGGCUUACCAACCCGAUGCAAACUGCGAAUACCGGAGAAUGUUAUCACGGGAGACACACGGCGGGUGCUAACGUCCGUCGUGAAGAGGGAAACAACCCAGACCGCCAGCUAAGGUCCCAAAGUCAUGGUUAAGUGGGAAACGAUGUGGGAAGGCCCAGACAGCCAGGAUGUUGGCUUAGAAGCAGCCAUCAUUUAAAGAAAGCGUAAUAGCUCACUGGUCGAGUCGGCCUGCGCGGAAGAUGUAACGGGGCUAAACCAUGCACCGAAGCUGCGGCAGCGACACUGUGUGUUGUUGGGUAGGGGAGCGUUCUGUAAGCCUGUGAAGGUGUGUCGUGAGGCAUGCUGGAGGUAUCAGAAGUGCGAAUGCUGACAUAAGUAACGAUAAAGCGGGUGAAAAGCCCGCUCGCCGGAAGACCAAGGGUUCCUGUCCAACGUUAAUCGGGGCAGGGUGAGUCGACCCCUAAGGCGAGGCCGAAAGGCGUAGUCGAUGGGAAACGGGUUAAUAUUCCCGUACUUGGUGUUACUGCGAAGGGGGGACGGAGAAGGCUAUGUUGGCCGGG